CAUUUCAAAACUCCCCACCACUCCAAAUUUCAUCAAAUCUUUCGCAAUUUCACCAACGUCCACGAAUGGAAUGUUUUGUGCUUUUUUUUUUGAAUGAUUUGAAGAGGAAUAUCACAAGAAAAGUCACAUAGGAAGGAAUCGAGUAUAGGUGGUACACAUAUUUAUGGUUUUCGAAUCAUAUUAAGAGUCUCAAGUCUCUGUACUAAGAAAAUUGAUUGAAGAUGACUGAGUUCAAGUUUUUGUGUGAUUAUUAUUAUUGUAGUUGUUGUUGUUUGAUUGAGC